rnacentral:tRNA from 1 species
GGGCCAAUAGCUCAGUUGGUAGAGNNGGGGUCUGGGGUUCGAAUCCCCAUUGGUCCACCA